GCGUGAGUGAUGAAGGCCUUAGGGUUGUAAAGCUCUUUCGCGCGCGACGAUGAUGACGGUAGCGCGAGAAGAAGCCCCGGCUAACUUCGUGCCAGCAGCCGCGGUAAUACGAAGGGGGCGAGCGUUGUUCGGAAUUACUGGGCGUAAAGGGCGCGCAGGCGGCCUUACAAGUCAGGCGUGAAAGCCCCGGGCUUAACCUGGGAAUUGCGCUUGGGACUGUGAGGCUUGAGUACGGGAGAGGAGAGUGGAAUUCCCAGUGUAGAGGUGAAAUUCGU
rnacentral:rRNA from 1 species